UACGUAGGGGGCACGCGUUGUUCGGAUUUACUGGGCGUAAAGGGCGCGUAGGCGGCGCGUAAAGUCGGACAUGAAAUCAUUGGGCUUAACCUGAUGGCUGUGCCCGAUACUUACGUGCUUGGAGUGCGGGAGAGGCAAUCGGAAUUCUCGGUGUAGCGGUGAAAUGCGUAGAUAUCGAGAGGAACUCCGGUGACGAAGGUGGGUUGCUGGACCGACACUGACGCUGAGGCGCGAAAGCUAGGGGAGCAAACGGG
rnacentral:rRNA from 1 species